rnacentral:rRNA from 1 species
AUUGAACGCUGGCGGAAUGCUUUACACAUGCAAGUCGAACGGCAGCACGGGGCAACCUGGUGGCGAGUGGCGAACGGGUGAGUAAUACAUCGGAACGUGCCCAAUCGUGGGGGAUAACGUAGCGAGAGUUACGCUAAUACCGCAUACGAUCUACGGAUGAAAGCGGGGGAUCGCAAGACCUCGCGCGAAUGGAGCGGCCGAUGUCGGAUUAGGUAGUUGGAGGGGGAAAGGCGCACCAAGCCAACGAUCUGUAGCUGGUCUGAGACGACGACCAGCCAGACGGGGACUGAGACGCGGGCCAGACGCCUACGGGAGGCAGCAGUGGGGAAUUUUGGACAAUGGGCGCAAGCCUGAUCCAGCCACUCCGCGUGCAGGAUGAAGGCCUUCGGGUUGUAAACGGCUUUUGUACGGAACGAAACGGCUCUCUCUAAUACAGGGGGCUAAUGACGGUACCGUAAGAAUAAGCACCGGCUAACUACGUGCCAGCAGCCGCCGUAAAAC